UGCUGUUUUUCUGCAGAACUAAAUGUACUUAUUCCCAUCUGAUAUUUGAAAUUAAGCAGUUCUAGCCUUGUUUAGGACUUGGAUGGGAGAUCACAUUGGAACUGUAAGCACACAGUUA
rnacentral:rRNA from 1 species